CUGUGCAUGUGGGUCCGACAUCUCAGAAAUCAGCCACGUGACAGUAUGAUCUGAACAGACUUGGACCCAGCCAGCUCCCAGGUUUUGUUUCAACCUAGUUUUGUUUGUUCGGGGAAAAGAGUUUUUGCGGCUCCAUGGAUUUUGCCUGUGGCGACUUACCCAGACAUCUCCGCCUCUGCUUCUCGGCACUGACAAAGGAUUGGGAAGCAGCCAACCCGGACGCACAGCGGAGCCCGGAGAGGUUGCAAUCGCUUUCCUGGAGGAAGAGGAUUGCUGGUUAGAUUACCCCGGAAUGUGGACCCUCUUCGACCAGCUGUGCUUGAGAUGAGAGGAAUUGGAGUGCGUUCUUCACGCCGUGUCCGCCUACACAGCGGUCCCGCGUUCAGUGCCAGCUCCCGUCUCUUCACUGAUGUUCCACCGAUCGCCAGCUCCUGCUGCGCUCCCCGCUCAAAGUGUGCCUGGGAGGCUCUGUGUGGGCGGCUUGGGUUGAAACACCUGCCCUCCUGGAACUGAAGGUGUGUUGGCUCCCUGGCUGCUAGGAUUUCCUCUGCUUGCUGGAUGGGCGUAGUGGCCGAGCUCCUCACAUCACCCUGGCUUUCACAAGUGGCAUUGUUCAUGCACCAACGUCUGCCUCACCCUUUGGGUGAACAAUGUUAAGCUACAGCUUUACUAACCCUGUAGUGGGACACUCAACACCUGAGCUGAUAAACAGGCUUUCCAAACCCAACUUUAAGUAUUAUUGAUACUUAUCACUACCAAUAUCCAUAAUGUGUGAAUAUGGAGAUGGUGUUGUAUGUCAUGACUAUUAUUAAGUAGUAUGGGAUAUGUAUAACAAUGCAUAUGUGUAUGUAUAUGAUAUGUAUAUGUUUGUAUAAGUAUGUGCACAUACCUUAACACUAUUAUUAGUUUUAGUAUCAAUCUCCAAUGUAAACCACAGUACAACAGUUGUUUAGUUAUGAAUGUCUUAGCCUAAGGUACAUCCCUGCUUAAUUAUUUUGCACCGAUUGUUUACUUAACAUAUUUGCUUGGUUUCAGCAGCUGGUUGCACCGCCCCCCUCCCGCACACACCCCAAAGCAGAAACUUGUCCAUCACAAACCUGUCCAUCACAAUAUGGCAUUCAGCGUAAUAUAUGCUGCUUGUUAAACUGCUGGACAGAAAAAAAGUCAGUCUUUGGUUUCUAUUUUUUCUCAUGGUCCUGCUCAUAUUUCUGCUCCUGCUUCGCCUCUUUCCCCUGCUAGAGCUUCAGCCCCGGCCUUUUAGCAAUCUCUAGGCCGCGCUCUGGCUCCAUCUACUGGAGAGUGGUCUCAAUUGGACUCUGCAAUAAUCCCUCUGUGCAGUGAAAGGGUUUCCAUGAAGUUCGUUCCCCCCUGUGUCCUGACUCCACCACCGACCUCCCGACUGGCUCUCAAUGAGGGAUGCCAGAUCUGAGAGGAACUGAAAGGCCUGUACAGCCCGUGGUGCUCAGAUGAGCACGUCUACUCCCGUCCCUGGCGGUCCAAGGGAAGCCACACCGAUUCCAGUUUUUGGUGGUCGGGAGGUGACUGUACCAUUCGUGGUUUCUGUGUCCUUUGCUUCACUGUAUGCAGGUGGACGGCGGGCCGGCACUGACCAAGUUUACCUCAGCUACUGGCGGUCCGGCACCAACCAUGUCUGCCAGUGGUGCUCACAAGAGCACGUCUACUCCCGUCCCUUUUGGUCCAAGGGAAGCCACACCGAUUCCAGUCUCUGGUGGUCGGAAGGUGACUGUACCAUUCGUGGUUUCUGUGUCCUCUGCUUCACUGUAUGCAGGUGGACGGCGGGCCGGCACUGACCAAGAUUGCCUCAGCUACUGGCGGUCCGGAACUGACCAUGUCUGCCUCAGUUCCUGGGGGUCCGGCACCGACCACGUCCAUUCCGCCCGCAUGUCUGGCUCCUCAAGUUCUGUCAUCUCGUUGGCCUGGCAUGGUCCUACGCUCGUCUCGUCUGCCUGACUGGUGGCCUCGCCCUCGGUGCCUCACGCCACAAUAGUGGCGCUGCCUCCUUCGUCACCGGCCACCUCGACUCUCCUGCCCGGCUCCCCGUCUAGAGGACACUUUUUACUACACUACACUACACUAUUUAAACUGCUAUAAAUCAGAAACUAUAAAAGAUAUUUAAAAGAUUUCUGGAAGAUUAAUAGUUGAAGAUUAUUUUGUAGUUCAAAUGGUGUCUGUAGCUUAAAGUAUGCGAAAGUAGUUAAAUCUGAAAGUAGACAAAGCUGAAGCAAAUUUCAAAAGUUGUUUCCAUUCAUUUCAAUGGGGAAAAAAAGUUGAAAAAAGCUUAAUAACUUGAAAAAUAUAAAAUCUAUGAAUAAGAAAAGUAAUAGCACACUUCUUAAAAAGCUGAACAUUUUGAUAGUGGAAUCGUUUCUGUAGCUGAAAGUAUGCGGGACUAGUUAGAUGAGAAAAACGUGCGGAAGAAAAAUAAUUAGA